UCCCUGAUGGUCUAGUGGUCAGGAUUCAGCGCUUUCACCCGCUGUGGCCCCGGGUUCGAUUCCCGGUCAGGGAA